CACCUGGCUCGAUCCCACUACUGUGAGAUUGUGACCUGAUCCAAAAUCAAGACUUGGAUCCUUGACCAACUGAGCCACCCAGGAGUCCCCUGUUUUUACCACUUUUUCCCUCAAUUUGUCUUUCUGUGUUGUAUUGUGGAUUUCUCUUCACAGAUAUCUAUAGUCAACUGAUUUUUCUUUAGUUAUAAUGUGCUAUAUAGAACCUAUCAAUUGCAUUUUUAAUCUCUAUUGUUACAUUUUUCUGGUUCUAGAAUUUCUAUGGAGUUCUUUUUCAAACUGGCUAUGUCACUUUUUAUAGUUUCCAAUUCCCUGUUCAGAUUUUCAGACCUGGCAUUUAUUUCUUUAAAUAUAAUAAUCAUUAUUUUUUUACAGCCUAUGUCUGAUAAGUUAAAUGUCUGAAGUCUCAAUAGGUCUGUUUCUAUGGUCUGUCUAUUCUAUUUGUGUAGAUCUUGCUCAUGGUGCUUCAUUUCCUUGUAUGACUGGUUAUAUUUGAUUAUGCACUGGGCAUUGUAUUUAAAAAUUAUCGUAGGAGUAUUUUGAAGCCUAAGGUGAUAGGCUUUAAAGAGAGUAUUUUAAUUGGCUUUUACCAGAUACAUGGUGGGGACUACCAUUUGGGCCAGUUUAACCCAAGUUCAAGGCUUGUGAUUUCCUGGACCAUCCAGAUAAGGUGGCCUGCUAUGCGGCUGUGAUACCCAUGGUGGCCUUGGCACACCUGGCCAGGACAGCACUGACCAUCACCAUUCAGAGGGCCUGGAUUGUGAGCCUCACAGGUGACAACAGAGGCCACCUGGCUGGGAUGAAUGCAGUGGUCCGGUGGCUGGACCAGAUCAUCAGUAUAUUUGUUCUCCUGUCCGUGGGCCAGGUGAUGACAUGGGCAUCUCAUGUGAUCAAUUGAGGUUUCAUUCUUGGAUGGAACCUGCUUUCACUUCUUGUGGAGUUUCUAUUUCGGUCCAGGAUUUAUCAACUAGUUCCCCAUUUGCUUGUAAAAACCCAGCGACAAGCAGAGGGGCGCUUCCAAAAAAGGCAACAGGAGGCUGUGAAUAUUCAAGGUAAUAUAAACUCAGAGACAGCUCUCGUUCUUUUUUUCUCCUUUAUGUCAGUGUUUCAUUUCUUCUUUCCAGAGCUUAUGUCUGAUUAUAAUCUCCACAUUCUGUCUGCAAAUGUGUCUAGAAACAGUGAAAAAAUGAGAAGGUUCCAACUGUGCCUUUGGUCAUAUAGUUCAUAUGGCUGAUUUCAUUGGUGGGGCAGGUGGGGCUGUCAGGUGCAGUUACACAGGUUUUACACUGCCCAAUUCCAGGAGCUGUUUUUAGAGAGACUCCAAUGUGAGUAGCACUCCCAUGGGACUGUGGGGUAUUCAACCUGCACAACCUAUUUCAUGGUCCUGGGGGCAAAUUACUUCUCCCCUUCUCACUCAUAAUCUUACUUAAAGAUGCUAAGUUUGAAAGACAACCAUCUCAGUGAGUAUGGACUGGUCUUUGGGUCAAAAGAAUAUAAUGAAUGAACCAUCUCUGCUAUCAGCAGUGUUUUUUCAAUCAGAGAUUCCCUAACAUUAGGGUGAGGAUGGGAGGAAGGAGACCUGCCAAUAAAUAUGACCUCAAGAUAAGAACUCUCCUGCCUGCUGACAGUAUUACCCAUUUGCCUGUCAUAACACCAGGCCUUACUUCUGACAUCAGUUUCUUUUUCUGCGCUUUUUUUUUCUGCACCUUUUCUCUCAAGUUGUUUUGCAGUUGAAGCCCACCAGAUCUCACUGCCUGAAUAAAAUAUAUGUAUUUAUAGAGGUAGAUAGAUAUACACAAAUAGAUAAAUAGUACAGUAUCUUUCCGUCUGUCACUUUUAGCUGUGGAACCAUGCAGAGUCAUUCUACUCAGACUCCCUGUCUCACUAUCUGUACAGUAAGGAUAACAAUAGCAGAACUGAUUGCAGGAAUGCUGUGACAGAAAGAUUGCCUAUGCAAAGCCCCGUUUUGCUCCCUAGCAUCUAGUAAAACAAGUUGAUAGCUAUUUUUCAUCAUUGUUAUUAUUAUUAUUGUUUUUUUUUUCAAAGCUGCUCUGGCAAUAAUUUAUUUUCUAUAACCAAGAGCUUCCCCCUCCUCAUAGUUCUUGGGCUAGAAUGGAUUGUCCUGACCCUCUCUCCUUCCUUCACAGACCUAUUUGACUUCUGUUGUGUUUCUUUUCUUUUCUUUUCUUUUCUUUUCUUUUCUUUUCUUUUCUUUUCUUUUCUUUUCUUUUCUUUCUUUCUUUCUUUUUUUUUUUUUUCAGAGUUUGUCUUAAUUUGUGCUAAACACCUCUCAGGAUAAUGUCUUUUCAAUCUGCUUAUAGUCAUUGCCUGUUCCAUCCUGGAAGACUGAAAGCUAUUAUCAUUCGCUUUUUCUAAGUAUUUGUUUCUUCAGAAAAAUAACCAAAGAAAAUAUCCAUCGCUGUUUUUAAGAGUUUAUUACCAUGUUUCAAGCAUGUGAAAAUGUGUUUUUCAUGCUUUGCUAUAAUUUCUCUCCUGUCAGUGGCCACCUUCCUGACUUCACUGUGUGUCUUGAUUUGGGUUCUUUCAAAAGCAAUUAUUGAGAGGAGGAACUCGGGGUGGAAAGUAAUCUAUUUGGAAGGUGACCCUAGGAAGCAUGGAGGGGGGAUGGGAAAUGAGACAGGGAAGGGAAGAGAGCUGAUAAAGAAUGUGUUGAUGGACAGGUUACUGCCACUGGGGCUCAGUCUUGUUUGGGUCCUGGGACACACUGUGUAGGAUUUACCUCAGGAUUGUCCCACCAAGGGCCAGGGAAACUGGUGUGUUUCUCCAAGUGGUGUCAUUUAUUAGUGGAGAGUUGUUCCCAGAGGUAUGAUGUCUGGGCACCUACAGCCUGCCCUUGUGUUCCUGAGGCUGGAGAGAGACUCUCCAUUAGAAAGACAUGAGUGCUUGGGAUAGGAAGCCAUUGUUGCACAUAGGAAGUGCCCAACAAGGAAGAGGAUGUGGUUGGGGACGGGCCGAGGGCAUUUGGGCAGGGCACCAAUGUAAAGCUUAUUGGAUUUUAUUUUGGGUAAAAAAGACUCUUGGGAAAUCACUGAUGGAUUCAUCAACAAGCCCAAAACUUUGGGAACACUGACGGUCCACGAGUCUACCCCUGCAGGACAACAGGCCUCAACUACCAGCUUUCCUCUCUGCCUCCAAAAUGCACGAAGGCUGCUGUGCAUGUGCCAGGAGGGACGGGACGCAUACUGCAGGCGGACUGUCUUCUUGGCUGGCUUGGGCUUGGACUUCCUCCACAUGACGGUGCUGGGAUCCAACUGCAUCACCACCGGCUAUGUCUACACCCAAGGAAUUGGAGACUCCCUGCUUAGCAUCCUCAGGGCCCCUUCAGCUUUAUCCGGCCUGCCGGGCACAAUGCUCUUCAGCAGGUUUAGGGGCACUAUGGCUUGAUCAGCACAGGAAUCACAUCCAGCUGGUCCCAGGUAGGCUGUCUGACACUGCGUCUUCUUUGUCUUUGCUACUGGAAGUCCUUUAGAUCUGACUGUUUUCUCACUUUCCCUAAGCCAGAAUUCUUCUUCCAACCACGAGUUGCUAAAAGAGGAUGAGGUACGUGUUUAUUUCUUUGGAAGAAACAUGAACCAGCCUAUCCUUCUGGACUGCUCCUCCAUCCAUUGAACCAAAGCACAUUUCUUUUUGAAGGCAGGCAGGACCUGGAGCACCGAGUCUUACAUCUCCACCAUGUCGUUACUCUAGGGUAUGAUCCUGGCAAGAAUCGGUGAGUAUGGGUCAUGUGUGACAUGGGAUUCUGCAGACUGUGAUGAUGUUGAGGAAUCUUAGAGGCAUUUGAUGGUUUCACCACUGUGCACUGUAAGUCUUUAUCAUUCAUUCACCUAGAACAUGUUACAUGGAAAGAGCUGUCCUAGACACUGGGGAUACUAGCGUGGUUUCAUCAGACAAAGUCUUAGCCCCACGGAGCAUACACUCUGGAUGGGAGGCCAUUGAGUAAAUAGUUAACUACAGUCAACAAUAUGAAGUGAUCGGAGCUAUGUUGGGGGGAGGGCAGAAGAUUGAGGGCAUAUGGGAGGGACACCAAACCUGGUCUUUGGAGUUAGAGAAGCCUUCCUAGAGGGAGGCACAAUUGAGAGAUCCCUGAAGAACAAGCUGGACAGGUGACAUGGAGAAGAAAGAGUGCUCUAGACCAGACAGGCAGUUGUACAGUUGUACAAAGGCUUUUUGAAAUGUGAAGACAUGGAAAUUUGGGGAAGUGAAAGUAGCUAUUUCCUAGCUGUCAAGCACAUAAAUGCUACAGAUGGCAUCUACAUGAAAGGAGGAUUUUGAUCUGGAUCCUUCUCCAUGGAGCUGGGGUGGAGGGACAGGAAAGAGGGCAGCUUGGUGGAGUUCAAACCUUCCUUAGCUGCCUAGGGGAGUGGAGGGGAAUCCUUUCCCAGGACAAGGUGCCUAACUUUGAGGCUCUACAAGCUUGCCUGCUCUAAGAAGCUGGUCUUGGAACUUUGCCACCAACCACAUGCCGUUCAUAUGUGGCAGUGAGAACUUACCUAAUUUGGUAAGGGUGUUUAGAUUAAAAAAAAAUUUUUUUAAUGUUUAUUCAUUUUUGAGAGACAGAGAGAGACAGACCAUGAGCGGGGAAGAGGCAGAGAGGGAGACACAGAAUCCAAAGCAGGGUCCAGGGUCUGAGUUGU